rnacentral:lncRNA from 1 species
UGCAGGUGUACCCUGCUGCAGUCCAUUCAGCCUGUACUCUGCUAGACCCACCACUUCAAGAGUAGCCAGAUCCUUGCAUGCAGUGGAAUGGAAGAAGUAGGUCCAGAUCCUCACAUAUUCUUUAUGCCAAAUCCAUUCAAGUUGUCACUCUCCACAUGUGCUGCUCCAUAUUUUGUGGUCCACAUAUUCCAGAAGAAUUUUCAGAGAGAACCUAGUGCACUGCACGGAUGAAAUGGAGAGAGAUUCUGCAGAAGGAAUAAACAUGGAGAUCUUUAAGUCCCA